rnacentral:lncRNA from 1 species
CGGUCGCGGAUCCUUCGACACUUCAUGUGUCGGAGGUUCCUUAGCUCAGACGCGUCGGGGGUUCCUCAGCUCAGCUGUCCUGGAGGUUCCUUGGCUCGCUCGGUUGCCGAUCCUUCGACGCUUCUCUGUCGGAGGUCCCUCAGGCUGGGCGCGUCAGAGGUUUCUUACCUCCGCCGCGGCCUCAGCCAUCCUCGGACUUGGGAGGAUCGGAGGUUCCACCUUUCUCUGCUUGUGGGCCUCCGCCGAUUGUUUGUCCCUGCACACACUUAGCACGACAAGACGAGUCAUCAAUAUUAGCCUUUUUCCAGGAUCCUCCGCAUGCUUUACCACGGAGGUUCUCUGGGUGGAGGAUAUCCUCCGACGCCUUAGAAAUCGGAGGUUCCUCGGGUGAAGGGCAUCCUUAGACGUUACCAGGGGGAAGGAUGCAGCCAUUCCCCAACAGUUCCCCCCUUUUUGGGCUAAUGGCACUCCCGCGGUCCAUGUGCUCAAAAACAUGUCACGCUGCGGAGGCUGCGAGCAUGGUUGCUGCCUUCCCCCUGGUGCGCAGGAUGUGUUUGUUAGCAUCAUCGGAAAAAAUUUUCAUUUUACUUGGUCAUAAAUUUUCUUGGUAUGUUUCUUUUGCCAGGAUCCUCCGAUCAUUGUUGUUCUGAUAGCUUGAUAUCCUUCGCGCGUUAGAGUGCGCAGGAUAUUAUAGCCGUUGGAGUUAGCCGUUGGCAUUGAGGAAGCGCAACGGUCAGGCCAAUUCCUCCGCUUAUAGCCGUUGGGCGCGGGGAAUCGCAACGGUCACGUUGCCGCAGGCCCCCCCUAUAAAAGGGGCAUGGGGGAGGCUCUUGGGUCUCACCCUUGCAGCCAGCUGUUUGCGUUUCUUCCUUCGCCACAUCUCGCUCUUUGAGCUACUUGCAUUUGCUUUAGUUGAGUAUAGCUCUUAAGUGAUUGCGGAGGAUAUAAGGUGGCUCAUUUUCCUUCGCCUCGUCCUUCAAGGUCAGAUUUUUCUGGUCCUUUGCGUAAUUUUCUUAGUGUGAGGUCUGGUGGUUGGUUGCGGAGGUUUGAAGAUUGGAUGCUUGAGGUGGCUGCUGCUCAAGAUCUGGAGGAGACAUUGUCUGACGUCGAAGCUUCUGUUGGUGAUCUAAUCAGUGCGAAGGAGUUUGAGGAGAUGGCUGCAAUUACUUUUGAGUUUGGGGAGUCGACUGUGAGGACGGAGGAUAUUGCUGAUAUGGUUGAAGCUAGGUUUUUCAAGGAUGGCCGUGCGAAGGCUCCUCCUGCGGGUCAGACGGUGCCUGCGCCUGAAGAGGGUUAUGAGGUGGUAUUCAGGGACUUCUUUACCUGCGGACUUCGGAUGCCUCCGUACCAUUUCCUUCGCGAAGUGAUGGAGAGCUUCAACGUGGAGCUACAGCAUUUCAGCCCCAAUGGGAUACUGACCCUUAGCAAAUUUGCCUGGGCGUGUGAAUCCUAUGGAGCCAUGCCCCACAUUGACACUUUUUGCUCGUAUUUUGAACUCCAACGCCAGCCUAAGAAGGUGAAGGAUGCCGAAUGUGUUGAGUGCAUUGCGCAGUUUGGAAGCUGCGCGUUCAUGCCGCGCCGCACCAUGCCUGGGCCAAGGUGCGAGAUCUCCUACUGCCAAAAGGGGAAGUGGGAGAAGGAUUGGAUGAGAGCCUGGUUCUACGUGAAGACCCCCGCUGCGUCGAGGACUUUGGAUGACGGUAGCGUUGAUAAGGUUUACCCUUACGCGUCGUUGAUGAAGGAGUUGAAGCCUAUCUCGAAGGUUGAUCCUUCGCAGGAAAUGUCGGAGGAACGACUGGCCUGCGACAAGGCAUUUGCGCUGGCUUGCCGAUACUCCGGAGGUCGAGAUUUGGUUGAGGAGAUGGUCGCCGCCGACUAUUGGCCCCUUGGCCGCAGGACCGACGAAUUCACCAUUGAAAUGGUGCAAGUGCCAGUCUUUGGUCCUCCGGAGGGUUUGCCGUUUCCCCGGUUUGGCGCGGGUUUGCCGGAGGAUGAGACCAAUGGGUCCUUCCUUGAACACGUGGAGGUUUCUGCUUGGAGGAUUGUUGGGAAGAUAUCGGAGAAGGAAUAUCUCCAGCGGAGGUCUGCGCUCGGGACGAUGCCCCGCUUCAACCGUGUUUUUGAAGAAUUGGGGAUUGAGUAUGAGGAUUAUGUUAUUCCUCCGGAUGUGUUGCUUGGAUUAGAGAGGAAGAAGGACUCUUCCAAGGCUGUUGCCUUGGCGGAGUCGAAGAAGAGGAAGGGGGCGGCGCUGUCAAGCAGCUUGCGAAGAAGCGCAAGGCGGGGGUUGUGCUAGAGACUCCUGUGGAGUCUUCCUCCAUUCGAUCUUCUGCUGCUGAGUCGAACUCGGUGGCUUCUGCUCCUGCGGAGGCCGUUGCUGUUGGCGGAGGUCCCGAGGUUCAAGCCUCCCGUGCGGCCUCGUCUGUGCGGGCGCCUUUUGUGUCGCUGCUUGGUGAGGAUUCCUCCGACGCGGAGGCCCCUAGGGGGAGUCCUGCACGGGAGGUGAGUCCUGCGCGGGAGGCAUCUGCUGGAGGGGUUUCUCCGCCGAAGGAGAGGCAGGAGGAAUCCAGUGAUGAUGCAGAGUCUGCCUCUGUUCGGAGGAUAAAGAGGGCGGAGGCUCCCCUUCGUCCGGCUGGAGACGGUAUAAAUUCGUUGUACAUGGGUAAUGAUUUUUUGUUAGUUAUGGGUUUUUCUGCAUAUUUUGAUUGACUUGGUCUCAUGUUUUUUGUAUAUCUUUCAGCGGAUGUUUUUGCUGGGCUGGCUACCGCGGAGGAGCUGGCUAAAGGCGCCAGCGUUGCGCAGGAAGGUCUUGCUGUUCCUCCACGGCGUGAUCCUGCGCCUUCUGCGUUGGCCAGCAGGCCUUCGCCUACUGAUUACUUGGUCCCGGUGAGUUUCUUUUUUGCUUGACUUAUUGAUUUGUUUUUUUAGUAUUUUAUUCUGAGGUUGGUUUUGGUUUUUUGCAGGUGCUUCUGAUCCUUCGAUCAGAGGUUGGACUGAUGCCUUGCGCGAGGUUCAUUCUUUGGUCGGAGGUUCGUUGUAUGGCCUCCGCUAAUGGGUUUUUGGUUCUUACGAUUUUUUUUACUUGUUUUUGAUUUACAGAUCGUUUCCGUCAGAAGCUUCGCAACAUGGACUUUGACACGCUACUCCGCGUGCAAUAUGAGCACCAUAGCCUUGUACGUUUGCGAUGUGUUAUAUUUUCCUUCGCCGUUUUUCGCUCGGAGGUUGGUUGUAACUUUUAUUUUUUGAGCAGGGUCAUCACAUGGCUGCCGCCUUGGAGGAGCGUUGCUCCCGGGAGGUUAUUUGCCGGGACGAGGCUAUUGGUGCUCUGAAGAAGGAAAACGGGACCUUAGCAGCUUCCAAACUGCGCAAUGCACUCAACACCUUCGGCAUCCUUCACCUUCUUAGGCUGGCGCUGGAGUUCAAAAUACGAGCAAAAAGUGUCAAUGUGAGGCAUGGUUCCGUAGGAUUCACACGCCCAGGCAAAUUUGCUAAGGGUCAGUAUCCCAUUGGGGCUGAAAUGCUGUAGCUCCACGUUGAAGCUCUCCAUCACUUCGCGAAGGAAAUGGUAUGGAGGCAUCCGAAGUCCGCAGGUAAAGAAGUCCCUGAAUACCACCGCAUAACCCUCUUCAGGCGCAGGCACCGUCUGACCCACAGGAGGAGCCUUCGCACGGCCAUCCUUGAAAAACCUAGCUUCAACCAUAUCAGCAAUAUCCUCCGUCCUCACAGUCGACUCCCCAAACUCAAAACUAAUUGCAGCCAUCUCCUCAAACUCCUUCGCACUGAUUAGAUCCCCAACAGAAGCUUCGACGUCAGACAACGGCUCCUCCAGAUCUUGAGCAGGAGCCACCUCAAGCAUCCAAUCUUCAAACCUCCGCAACCUACCACCAGACCUCACACAAAGAAAAUUACGCAAAGGACCAGAAAAAUCUGACCUUGAAGGACGAGGCGAAGGAAAAUGAGCCACCUUAUAUCCUCUGCAAUCACUUAAGGGCUAUACUCAACUAAAGUAAAUGCAAGUAGCUCAAAGAGCGAGAUGUGGCGAAGGAAGAAACGCAAACAGCUGGCAGCAAGGGUGAGACCCAAGAGCCUCCCCCAUGCCCCUUUUAUAGGGGGGCUGCGGCAACGUGACCGUUGCGAUUCCCCGCGCCCAACGGCUAUAAGCGGAGGAAUCGGCCUGACCGUUGCGCUUCCUCAAUGCCAACGGCUAACUCCAACGGCUAUAAUAUCCUGCGCACUCUAACACGCGAAGGAUAUCAGGCUAUCAGAACAACAAUGAUCGGAAGAUCCUGGCAAAAGAAACAUACCAAGAAAAUUUAUGACCAAGUAAAAUGAAAAUUUUUUCCGAUGAUGCUAACAAACACAUCCUGCGCACCAGGGGGAAGGCAGCAACCAUGUUCGCAGCCUCUGCAGCGUGACAUGUUUUUGAGCACAUGGACCGCAGGAGUGUCAUUAGCCCAAAAAGGGAGGAACUGUUGGGGAAUGGCUGCAUCCUUCCCCUGGUAACGUCUAAGGAUGCCCUUCACCCGAGGAACCUCCGAUUUCUAAGGCAUCGGAGGAUAACCUCCACCCAGAGAACCUCCGUGGUAAAGCAUGCGGAGGAUCCUGGAAAAAGGCUAAUAUUGAUGACUCGUCUUGUCGGGCUAAGUGUGUGCAGGGACAAACAAUCGGCGGUGGCCCACAAGAAGACAAAGGUGGAACCUCCGAUCCUCCCAAGUCCGAGGAUGGCUGAGGACGCGGCGGAGGUAAGAAACCUCCGAUGCGCCCAGCCUGAGGGACCUCCGACGGAGAAGCGUCGAAGGAUCGGCAACCGAGCAAGCCAAGAAACCUCCAGGACAGCUGAGCUGAGGAACCCCCGACGCGUCCGAGCUAUGGAACCUCCGACACAUAAAGUGUCGAAGGAUCCGCGACCGGGCAGAGGAUCCAAGCCUCCGACCGGCUGAAACCCUAGACAGGUGACACGCGUGGGGUUUGUAAUGCGAAAUUACACGAGUGACUUGGAGUCGGUAGACUGUAAUAGGAGAAUAUGCCGGGAUAUUCCCCCACCGUCACGGGGCAUUUUUGUAAAUGUCGUUAGGUCGGUUUCUGAGCCCUAUAUAAGGGGUGAUGCCGUUAUUAAUAAGCAAGGAGAGCAUUCAUUGUAUUCACCUACUGUUGAGCUCACUGUUCACUACUGUUCGCCCUCUCGCGGCACCGAGUAAGAAGGUUCUCGAUUCACUGUGCUGCUGGGGAGUGCGGAGAGCAUUUUCCCAACAUUGGCGCCCACCGUGCUCGGCACGAUUUUUUUUUUUUUUGAAAAGCUGGUAGUUGAAACCUUUGGAAAAAUUCACAGAGUUAAGAGUUGGUUCUUCGGACAUCAAUUUCAAGUAAAAAUCUCCAAGGCCUUCGGCUGUCCAGCCUGCACACGAAGCUCCGGCCUUUAUCUGAUAGCACGCCUUCGACAGCCUUAUGGUGUGCAGCCUUCUUCACACGAACCCUUUGACCUCUAUGUAACAACCUUCGCUAGCCUUCUAUAAUCUAGUGUGCAGCCUUCGCAGCCAGCCUUUGAGUAUUGCAACAGUUCCAAUAAGUCAGCCUCAAUCAUCAAAAACCCCAAAAAUAAGAACACUAAUAGAUCAGGGCCGCUUACCUGCAACCUUCAGCAAUCCAAGUGACGUCUUCGUCCAUGGGAUCUUCAGGUCUCCAAGCUCUUGAGGGAGGCAUUGGAAGCAAAGUCUCCACAUACACGGCCUGCUUCCUUAGCUCCGUGACGAAACUAGUCGGACCAACACGGGACGCUGGAUGCCAACUUGCGUAACCAUAGGCCACCAACAUCGGUUAGCAAGCCAUGAAGUGUUUAUUAUUGCGGGAAGUGUUUAUUAUUGCGGGUUGACGAGCAUAGGUCAGGUGCCUUCCGCAAACAACGCCAUGCUUGCAACGCUCCUAGUCUCAACGAAGGUGUGCAUUUUAAAAAAACUUCGAGAAGGUAAUCUAUGAAGAAGGUAAGGUCUCCAAAAAACUCCAAAAAUAUAAAAAAAACUUCAAGAAAGGUGAAGCACCACAAACCUUCGUUGCUUCUUUUUUUUAAAAAAAGAGAGAAAGAAAGAGCCAGGACCUUUGGCUACUGUUCAAGGAACAGAGGUUCGAGCUCAAUAUCUUAGUACAAAAUAUUUCUUCUCGGUGCUAGCUAACCAGCAGGAACACAAGACUUUUAGUUAAGCAAAUGCCAGCAGUGCGGAAUAGACGCCGCCGCAGCAGCGUUGUCCACAACGCCGACCAUGAACCUGAUAAGCCACACAACAACUUCGAGCUUGCGACACAAAGCUUCGCAUCGACCCCUGUCCAUGCUCUCGCAACAGCAUUAAGAGCUGCCUGGUGAGGCAGAAUGAACCAUGCCGAGGAGAAGAAGACACUCGUCGAGCUCGAGCCAAGCUCGCUCGACCUCGCCGCAGGAUGAUGACCCGAAGCGCCAAACAAAACGCUCACGGCAAUCUCGAGCUCGAGCACUGCCAAACCAACCCUUUACAAAUGACGUUAGGGACAGACCUCUGACGAUGGCCAGCAUGCUAAACCUUCGGCCCAAUUCUGGGCUACCCGCCCACGAACCGCACAUAUGAAGAGACAGUGCUUUGUGAAGCUCCGGCCUCCUGUAGGGCUUGCUACUUCUGCCGAAGGUGCCUCCGCUGCCACUGAAGGCUGAGACAAUGUUCAUUCUCAGCUUCCGAAGGCCCCAGAUCCAGUCUACCGAAGGUUGGUGCGAUUCCCUGAUAUUGCUCCACACCUUUCGCUUGACCAACGAAGGUAUGCUGGCAUAUUUGCAAACCGACAAAUCAAGGUUUGAACUCUUUAUUGUUUACUACACCCAAUGCUUGCUAAAAAGAAAAAAGCCUGGGACGGCAUCUUUCUUUAUGUGCUAACCAAAAGGUCAUGCAAGUUUUCUCCUAGACGUUUGCAGAUUAUUUGUUAAGGCCAUUGAGCACCAAACGGGAACCUCCGCUCUAAAACUUGUCAUUUGCAUCUGGAUUUCUAUUUGUGAAGCUAGAAGCUACUUAUUCGGCGAAGCUGACAUACCUUCGUGAUUUUUUAUCACUCUGAUAUCUUUGAACCUUCACCAUUUUUGGUUCUCUCAUGAAGCUCAUUUUCUUGCGCGGAUGGAAUUCUUGGAUUUUUUUUGUUUGUGAAGCUGGAACAUCUUCGCUGAAUCCUGGAGAAGACCUUUUUUUUCUUGUGAAGACUCGAGUCUCUUCACAAACCUGACGAAGGAAUCCACAAACCUGACGAAGGAAUCCUGGCCUAUCUAUUAUAUAAGAACAAUUACUCAUCACGUGUGCAUGACUCUAGAAUGACCUUCGCAGCAACAUGUACGUACGCCUCUCAACCAAGGUAACAGUGACACUUAACUAGAGCAUUUACUCGUUGUUUCUUACACCACGAGGCAACUGCAACAAAGUUCUACCACUCACCAUUUGAGCUACGUGCCAAUUAAUAAUAACAAUCAAAUAUAUAUUAUUUUCAUACAUAUCUUUUCACAUAUGCCAAAAGUAUCUUCAUGCAAGGACCAAACUAGCACUCACCAGAUUAUAAAUCUUCAUGGCAUAUAAUGCCUAAUGAUUUUUCUAUUAUGAUUUAUUUUUUGUCACAUUUCUUAUCUAACCUUGGCCUCCCAAGAAAAAAUUUAAAAAAUAGUCUUCGUGUAUAACUUAUCACCAAUGUGACUAAGAAAGUUGUCACGGCCUUCGCCAUACCAAAAGCACGACCUGAGUGGCUAUACAUGCUUGGCCUUAGCUAGCUAAUUCAAAAACCUACAUUUUUCUUAUACCGAAUCUCUUUUUUACUAACAUGCAGAUUACUAUCACUGUAAGUAUCUCUUUUCCUCUCCAAGCUAACCCUCUCAUAGAAUAUAUUUUCUUUGUUGUAUACAUUUUUUACAAACCCAAGAUACAUAGUUUACAUUAGAUACUAGCCCUCAUGAAAUUGAGCCUUCGUCAGUCAACAUCCUUCGCUAGUCUCAGUCCCUGUUCUAAAUAGCGCGCUAUAGUGAACGCUAUAGCGCUAUUUAGCGUUUCUGGAAGAGGACUGCUAAGCUAUGAAGAUUUUAACGCUAAAUGAUUGUUCCUGCUAUUAGCAGCUAAUAGCGCGCUAAUUUCGCUAAAUUGGGUUAGUUUAGCGCCGCUAUUUGGCCUUGGGAUUCAUUUUCAUCGCCCCAAAUAACUUGGAGGCCCAAAUAGUAGGGAUAUGCCCCUAUGUGAUGUAUGUUAUUAUUGAUGUAUCAUGUAUGAACUACGAACUUUGAUGUAAUAUGUUAGUAACCCUUUGAAAUAUCUAUCACUAUUGGUAUUCAUAAUGUUUUCAUCUUUAUUAUGUUUAAAAUUACAUGAUAUUUGAUAUAUUUUUUGCUCAACCGCUAAAUGGCUUAGCCCGCUAUUAGCGCGAUAUAGCUUUUCUUAGCCGUUUAGAGAGGCUGCCGCUAAGAGGCUUAGCACGCUAUUUAAAACACUGGUCUCAGUAAGUCAGUGGUAUUCAUUUGUCAUUGGUUCUCAGAAACCUUCGUUAGUCACCUUUGUCAGUUAUUGGCCUUUAUCAGUGAACAACCUUCAUCAGUUAUUGGACUUUAUUAGUCACCUUCAUCAAUUAUUGGCCUUCGUCAGUGAACAGCCUUCGUCAUUCGCCAACCUUCGUCAUUUAGCAGCCUUCGUCUAUCGACAGCCUUCGUCAGUGGGCAACCUUCAUCAUUUAGUAGCCUUUGUCUGUCGGCAGCAUUCGUCACUUAGCAGCCUUUGUCUAUCAGCAGCCUUCGUCAUUCAGCAACCUUCGUUAGUUGGCAGCCUUCGUCAUUCACAACCUACAUCAGUUGACAGUCUUCAUCAUUUAGCAACCUUCGUCAAGUUAUCAUCCUUCGUCAUUCAAUAUUUUUCAUUGCUCAGCAGCCUUCUAGUCAGCAGUCCCCAUCAGCGAUCAACCUUCGACAUCUAAUAAACCUUCUCCCAUCAGCCUUCUCCUACUUUUUUCAAGUUGUAUCGUUGAAAUUAUUUUUUAGGACUUAUAAAUGUUAUUUGAGCUAAUCUUCGCAGGGAGCUAAUACUCUUUACAUUCAAUAACUACAAGUCAUAUCUACACCAAUGCAGGUUCUUAAAUGGCAGCCUUUACUUGCCAUCUGAAACUAUGAUUCCUUAUUCAAGGGUAUCAUUCUUCGUAUAUAGACCAUAACUCUUACACAAGCUCAACCAUCAUUUUGCAGGGUGCAUGAUACAUUUACCUCUUCUAAUAUUUUCACGCAAAUAUAGUCAUCCUUAUCAUCGGUACCACAUACAUACAUUGCAUAAGUGCAUUGCAAAAUAUGGCCCAAGCCACCUGGAAGAAGUCCCAAAAAUACAUGGGCACCAGGACUAUGCAUCAAAAUCCUGGAAGAAGUCCCAAAAAUACAUGGGCACCAGGACUAUGCAUCAAAAUCCUGGAAGAAGUCCUAAACCUACAUAGGCACCAGGUCACAAAGCUGAGGCUUUCGUGCUACCCUCACGUAUCAUAUAAAUGACUAACCAUCUUUUGCAGCAAGUGCCUUUCUAAGUGUCGAAAGACUUGUAAGCAAGUCGAUAUUCGACGGAGCUAUAACGCCCAACCUAAGUCCCUAAAAAUGCAGGAGAACAACUCAGGCGCAUUUUCACACGACUUAUAUGGCCUUUGGCACAUGGCGACAGCAUCUACAUUGCCAUUACCUUCUCCAAGACCUUCAUAUGAGGGGCUUCGCCACCAUCUUCAGUGACUUCAUCAACAUCAUCUCCAUUGAAAUAACUUUUUCAGAAGGGCCUUCGUCAAACAACUUUGUAGGAGGGUCUUUGUCAUCGCCUUCGGUUUACUUCACCAACCUCAUCUCCGCCAAACACAUACGAAGGAGGGUCUUUGACUGUAGUCAUGGCAAACCAUAAUGACUUGCCUCCAUUGAUACAUCGCCAGGAGGGGCUUCAUCGACACCUUCGUCAUCCACACUAAUAUGUACUCCACCAAGCACCUUUGCAGGAGAGUCUUUGAUAAGAGGGGCUUCACCAUCAUCCUCGCCCACUAUAAUGGUUCAAUAGCUUUCGUCAACUCCUUCGGCAUCAACAUCGAUGGCACCCCCCAUGCCUCCUUCGCCACCAAGUUCUACAACACCUUCUUCACUGGGCCUUCGCCUCACUCUGCAUCUACAUCAGCGAACAUAUACUUCCACUACUAUGACUACAUCGACCACACCUUCAUCAUGAGCACCGACCAAGAGGGGCUAGGCAAGCAUAUCAGAGGACCAACAACUCUGGACAUGAAGACUCUUUGUCCGGUGCUCAGGAGAAGGCCUCGAGGACAAAGACUCCCUCACUGAGUGCGGAGGAUUUGGGCGAGACUGAUGAUAAUGCAUCUCUUGUGAUACCGAGUGAAUGCAAGGACCAUGUCAACGAUGGAGGUCGCAAGGAGAGAAGGAAGGAGCCUUCGGAUUUCCCCACGAUGAAGGAUGAGCGAAGGCAAGACGAAGGACGCGGCAGGACCGACGAGCCUUCGUUGCACCCGGGCCGAAGAACCUUCGACGUGACCAAGCUGAGGAACCUUCGUCACAUCUACGCUGAAGGUUCCGCAGCCGAACGAAGGAUUCAAGCAUUUAACGAGCUGGAGCUCCUGCGCGUGAGAAGGCACAUUGUGCAACGCGUUGCUGGGGAGUGCAGUGCGCAUUUUCCCAAUUGCUGAGGAGGUUUGAAGAUGAAGACCUCCGCACCGAGAAGGCCUUGAAGAUGAAGACCUCCGCACCGAGAUGGCCUUGAAGAUGAAGACCUCUACACCAAGAAGGCUCAAAGAUAAAGAACAUCAAGCCAAGAAGACUUUAAUGCCGAGGACCUUCACAUCGAGAAGAUAUUGGAGGAGAAGGCAUUGAGGAUGAAGGCCUAUGCACCAAGCAAGUCCAACAAACUAUGUCAAUGAAGUGCAUAAAGAAGGCAAAGCCCAAAGUUGAAGAUAUCUGCGAGAACAAGGCACUCAGGGGUAGUCGCCUCAGGACUUAGAACACGUAUUGGUUAGAGUCAUGCACGUGCUCUUUUCUCCAUGCCCUUUUUUCCCACAGGGUUUUUGGGAUGGAGUUUUUAGUGAAUCGUGCAUGCAUGGUUCGUGAAGGGCAAUCCUCGCAACCAAGAUUCAAGUUGUAUUGUGCCUCUUCUAGUAUUAGCAUCUACUAGGUCAUGUAGUACCAGCCAUAACCAAGUAGAUGAGGGGCUAACUGUUGGGACAUGUCAUGUUCACAUGGGCCAAGUCCCUAGAAGAGGCCCAACUCAAGCCAUUGGAGUGGCAUGUAAAAUCCACCCCCACAGGGGGUCACUUGUAAAUUUCCACUUGCCUAUAUAAUGUCAUGAUCAUGAGGGCAAGGGGGGCUCUCUUCACUCUCCCACUAUUUUCUCGCAAAACCCUAGCUGCCGCCUCACUCUCCCCCCUCACCUGUUGGAACCUUCUCCAGCCAGGACUUUGUCCUAGACCUUCAUCGAGAACCUUCUCCGGCCAGGCCUUCGUCCUGGACCUUCAUCGAGAACCUUCUCCAGCCAGGACUUUGUCCUGGACCUUCGUCGAGAAGGACCAGAAAAAUCUGACCUCAAAGGGCGUGGCGGAGGAAGAUGAGCCACCGUAGAUCCUCCGGAAACACUUAGGAACCAAACGCAGCAAAAACUCACGCGAGCAGCUCAGAUAGCAAGAUGUGGCGAAGGAAAUGUGCGUGCAACGAGCGGCAGGGGUGAGAACAGAGAGCUCCCCAGCAUCCCCUUUUAUAGGGGGGCCUGCAACCGCGCGGCCGUCGCGAUUCCCCGCGCUCAACGGCUAAAAGCGGAGGACUCGGCCUGACCGUUGUGAUUCCCCAGAACCAACGGCUAACUCCAACGGCUACUAUAUCCUCCGCAAUCUAACACGCGAAGGAUAUCAGAACAACAGUGAGAGGAAGAUGCUGAGAAAGAAAAUUUUCACCAAGUACAAUAAAAAUUUUUUUUUCCAACACCGCUAACAACCACAUCCUGCGCACCAGGGGGAAGGCAGCAACCAUGCUCGCAGCCUCCGCAGCGUGACAUGUUUUUGAGCGCAUGGACCGCAGGAGUGCCAUUAGCCCAAAAAGGGGGGAACUAUUGGGGAAUGGUUGCAUCCUUCUCCCUGGUAGCGUCUAAGGAUGCCCUUCACCCGAGGAACCUCCGACUUCUAAGGCGUUGAGGGAUAUCCUCCACCCAGAGAGCCUCCGUGGGAAAGCAUGCGGAGGAUCCUGAAAAAAGGCUAAUGUUGAUGGCUCGUCUUGUUAUGCCAAGUGUGUGCAGGGACUGACGCUGACGGAGGCCCACAAGCAGAGAAAGGA